CGUAAAGGCGCUCUCCGUUAAACAAAGCAGCAUCGCACGCGCCCGCCGGUCGGGGAGGGAGGAUCCGGGGAGGAGAAGCGGCCGCUGAUUGGACAGCGCUUCUCCUCUCUCCCGCUGCCCCCCUCCCUCUCUCUCUCUCUCCUCUCCCCGCUGCCACGAGCAUUCCGCGCGAGACGCCGGGCAGAGGCGGCAUCGCUAUGGCGCGCUGAGGAGCGGACGGAGAUCGUCGCCCAGGUCAAGUUGUUCCACCAGGACACGCCUCGGCCUCCAUGAGCUCCAGCGCCGACCGCCGGUAACGGGCUCCGGCUCGCAGUCGACGCUUAUCGGCCCGGGGGUGCCCGGUGUGGCCGGGGGUCAGGACUCCGUGCAGAGCUGCUAUGACGAGCCGGAGCCCACACUGUGUUGAAGAUGCAGCUGUGUCAGAGUGAAAUCGAUGCGCGGCGCUGUGGAAGCUCCAGGUGUCGGCCUCUGCUGCAUCACCUGAUACAGAUGAUGUAUGGCCCAUAAAGUCCUCGCAGGCACUAAAACAACACGGGUGGGUGUGAUACAAAUGUGCAUUAUGGAGGCGUCAACUUGUAACAGAUAGCAGAUCCUCAACUCCCAGCUGUAAAAACUGGCACGUAACACACACACACGUACACACACACACACACACACACACACACACACUCACACACUCACACUUCGUCUGCAGCCUCAUCCGGCGCAGCAGCAUGAAUCAACCGAGCGAUACGAUAAUACGAUACGUUAGCAGUUUGAUGAUUCAUGUUUUUCUCAUGAUCUGCUCACAUUUACUGUACACGGCUGAUCAGCAGUCACUUUUUCCUUUUAUUUUUUAAUCCUGCCUUGAUCGCUGUUUCGAUUCACGCUGCACGGUUCGAGCACCCGAGUCCCAGCAGUUGGGUUCCAGCACAGGAUCUGGCACAUCUACAAAUAUCACUUAUACAAUGACUGCUUAGAUUUAAAAUGCUCAGUAAGUGUUGCUGAUGUUUGACCGGAGACACCAGUGACCUAAUACUGUUUAUACAGUCGCUCAAAGCCGCCGCUCUAAUACGUAUGAUUACAAAUAUGAAGCCUGCUCACAAAGUGGAUCCACAACACUCUGAGACAGGAGAUUGUCAGUUAUCAGCGCUGCUAGAGUCACUUUUCAUUCACUUAGUAGAAUAACAGCAAAUGUCUCCAUUUAGACCUGCACCGUCAAGAUGACCCAGAAUGCAUCAGGGCCAAAGCCAAUUGAAGUGAAUCUAACAAAGGUUUUCAUCUAUUUGCUUUGGCAUCUUGCUGUUUGAUCACAUUGGCAGCUGCUUCCAACUCAGUGUACAUAGCACUUGUGGUGGAUAUGUUUUCUAUUUCCAGUUUCUCCAACAUAAGUAGGAAGUUGCAUGUAAACAGAAGGUGCCCAGGGUUCGGCCCUGUGUGACGCAUGUAUGAUGUCUCAUUGCUAAUGCUAAUGAGAAAUAUGAGUCAUGAAAUGGCAAAUAAAGCUGUAGACUCUGAGCUGUGUCCCUGAUAAAAUCGAAGUCUACUUUGUAAAGCAGCAGUACCCAGUGAGGUGAACGCUGGCGCUUUCAAACGCUUUCACACUCGCAGCUCUGCCGUUGGUGGACAGAGCUGUGAAGUGAGGACGGGGGGGUGGAGGUCAGUGAAGAACGGUGUUUACGUGUUGGGCAGAGAAGCACCGCAGCCGCCGAGCUGCUGUACUUAAAGUGAGUGAGUGAAAAGGUGACAACAUGUUCAUUUACAACUUAAUUGACACUUUUUUCAGGAGGCGCUAAAGUAGUGUUUUGCAGUCGAGUCGAGUGGGUGGAGAGUUUGUUGUCACGGUAACCGCUUCACUUGAGCAAAAACACUUAAUGUGAUGUGUGGAAGGGGCCUUCAUUUAAACGGAUGUGUGCGCGGCGGAGGAGGAAAAUGAGUCUCUCUCUCUGUGGACUCCAGUGACUCCUGGCUUCCUCGGUUUCACUCGGUUUGUCACACACAACAAGAUGCGGCUGCUGCUGAGAGAGGGGCACGGACCCCUCGCUGACACGGGAUCAGGACGGGAACACGCUCAGGAAACAGAGUGGAUUAAGAAAAAGGACCCAAGGUCCAGAUGGAGGCAGCUUCUUUGUGUGACUGAAUGUUCUCACCACAAUAGAAGACUGGAACAUAAUGUGCGUGUGUAUUAGAUCCGGCUGUAGCUGCUGUCACCUCUACUUUGGUUGUGUUGCUCAAGUUUUAAGCUGUCAAAAAGGUGACAGUUCUUAAAUAGCUUAAUUAAUUGAGAUCUCAGUAAUAUACAGUAAUUAUAUGUAGGCAUUAUAAAAAUUCAUGAACCCUUUAGGAGGGUAAUAAUUAGCAUGAAGUAAGAAAGAUUAGGUGACACUUUUUAACUAUUUAAAGAUAAAGGCUAAUACAUGAAUCACUUCAUGUCUGGAAACGUUUGUGUGUUUGGUUUAAGCGUUUGCUGAGUAGCCGUUCGUUUGUAUGUGUCCCUGAUGUGCUGCGUGUUUGAAUGGAGUCGCUGUCAUCGUGGCCACAGCUCCCGCUGCCGCAAGGACAGGCUCCGCGUAAGAGCUUCCCGUAAGAGGCCCUGGAUUCCUGCAGCGAGCCAGAGGAAGGACGCGUGAAUGAUCCGGUUGUGUUCAAACGAGGGCGUCGCGCUGCAUUCCUGCGCCGACGUACAGCACAUACAGUAGCUGCGCGUCAACGCCAGUGCACGGGCAGAAAAAGACCGCUUCAUCUGUCACGCAAAGAACUCGGAGCCGGUGUCUUUCUACAUCAUGGCUUCGUCCUGUGUUUUCCAAAGAGAUUGGGGAAGAAACAAGGAUAAAUGCUGCACUGCACCGCCGUCCACACACACACACACACACACACACACACACACACACACACACGCUCUGUCAUCUCCGUCAGGGAAGGACUCGUCUGAGCCGAUCGAUCCGUCCCGAAGAAAAGCCGGACGGUCCGGCAGCUAAUCACGCAGAUGGAUCCUCUGUCUGACAGCCGUCACAGGCAGUGAGACGUCUGCCGGAUCACUUCCUGUCAUCACUGACAUACUUGGCUAACUACAGUAAAAACACACAUUUCGGCUAGGGACUGGUUGACAAUGUGUUGGAAGGACAUGAGUUUGUGUGUUGGCCCCUAACUCAAAUGUGAAAUAGUCCCAACAUAUGGAAGUGCAUCGUUCCAGCCACAGGAUCGUGUUGACUUCAUCAGUGCCAGGUCGAUUACAUUGUCCCCCAGUCUCCCUCUGCUUGGCGGUCAUUUGCAUACGGUCCCUUAGGAUUGCUCUAAACCCAAUUGACCACGAUCACAGCCUCCAACUUAACUUUGGACCCCUUCACUGGAUCUCUCUUUAAUCCUAAUUAGAGAAGUAGUUUAAAGGAGUGUUAGGUCGUCCAAUGGGUGUUUUAUUUACACGGGUUGAAACUUGAAGCCUCAGCACUUGGCAAACUAAUUGUUGAGUCACUGGUACAGAUCAACAGCCCUAUUAAACCCACUGCAUAUUAUGGGCUGUGCUGUGGGAUAGUAAAAAAUAGUACUGGCUCCUCAUCAUCUUUUUUUUUUUUUUUUAGAUGUUCUGGAUUGCCUCUUCACUCCCUUUAUCUGUAUUUUUUCCCUCUUGCUUUGUAACAACAGCCCCUCUGUCAAAGCCCGGCCUGGAGCUAAAAGCUCUCAUUAAAGUGGCGCUCGGAGAUCCAGACACUCAGCUGGAGGUACAGUACAGCACUCACCAGUUAACCUUGUCCGGAUCUUCACAGAGGAACUUAAACACUCAUCACACUAUAAAGAACACCAGCGCUGCCCCAAAACGACGCCAUCGUAGCGUCUCAACACUGGAGCCACUUGCGCUUUUUUCUUGCCCUUGCCGCGAUGCUGUCGCCAUAGCGAUGAUGUCCCUGGGUGCGUUUUGGCAUCAGCAUAAUCAUACAUAAUGCAAAACGUGCCCGCACACCUUGCCAACGUCUUGCCUACGCUUUGGGUUACGCUUUUAGUUCCUCCCUCUUUAGCUCGGCCCUCGCACACUCACACACAUUUCUAUACACUCAUACUGUAUAUAAAAGGCCCUACACAGCCUCUCUGACCUCAUAACGGUUCCCCCACAGCUGCUCAGGCACGAGCUUAGGGCUCAAAAUGUUAGACUGAGGUUAAAUAUUCAGAUUCUGCAGGCUGCUGUGUGUGUGUGUGUGUGUGUGUGUGUGUGUGUGUGUGUGUGUGUGUGUGUGUGUGUGUGUGUGUGUGUGUGUGUGUGUGUGUGUGUGUGUGUGUGCGCGUGCGUGUGUAUGUGUGUGUGUGUGUGUGUGUGUGUGUGUGUGUGCAUAGUUCCUGUAAGCCAAAGUGUAUCUGACAGUCUGACAGAACAAUGAAGACCAAACUCUGCCAGAAGUACACACACACACACACACACACACACACACACACACACACACACACACACACACACACACACACACACAGCGUAUCGCUCCUAUUCAUAGAGUACAUACUGCACGUAACACAAAAAUGGGCUCAAAGUCCGGCUUUCUUCCGUGUCUCACCUCUGUGAUGCUGAGGCUCAGUGGUUCUGACAGGUGGAAUCAUUUAUUUACCGGGGGCACCCUGAGCAGCGCGGCCUCUGACCGGACCUCCUGCCGGCUGGAGACAGCAGCCGCGCCUCCGAGGACCCGAGGCAGCUGCGGGUUAUCACGCCAGCCGCGCACACAUGAGAGCAGCUAAAGAGCCUGCUGUGAUUUGUGCAGGUGAAGCGUGCGGUGAACGGUGCAUGUGUGCACGCUGGAGUGGAGCCUCUGUCCAUUAAUAUUUAUUAUUCUUUGGAGCCCUUUGGCAGCCGUUUGUCUGUUUUAUUUAUUUAUUUCAUUUCACCAUAUAGAUGAAGCAUCUCACAUUUAUGCAAACGCACUGCAAAUUGAAGUACUUGCACUGUAUUUAUUACCAACUAGAGUUACAUUAUGGGAGAGGAGGAUCUGUGGAAAGUGCAAAAUGUCGGUCACUUGAUUUGAAGGAAAAUCUGUCCUGCAUCCAAUUAUCCACCUUCUAAAACAACAUGUGCCCCAACAUUUAAAUACUGUCACAGCAUAAAGACUUUAGGCGAUAAUGUCAAAGAACAGAGAAGUGGAGGUUUGAGCAGCUCCAACCCAGAGAGCAGCGUGGCAGCAGAUCACGCCUACGGCACAAAAGGACUCGUAAUGAGCUAAAUUCAAGCAGGACGUGUCUUACAGCAGUAAGAUAAGUAAGUAAGUGCUCAUAGCUGUUACCUGCCUCAAAUUCCUCAACAUUCAAUUAACAUCUCAUUUUCAGCUUGUAGCUUCAGCAGUAGGUUGUCAACUUUAAUUAGCCUGUCAUUAAACGUCUCGCCUUAGCUGAUUACACGAUCCUGCUUCAGUUUCAGGGAUUCAAGUUCCUGACUGAAAUGUUAGCGUGUGUGUGUGUGUGUGUGCGUGUGUGUGUGUGUGUGUGUGUGUGUGUGUGUGUGUGUGUGUGUGUGUGUGUGUGUGUGUGUGUGUGUGUGUGUGUGUGUGUGUGUGUGUGUGUGUGUGUGUCGCUACACAGGCACAGUUAUUUACUGUACCAGUAGGACAGCUGAAGCUGCACGUCCUCCGCCGGUGCUGCCAUCAGCAGAGUCGAGCCAGUGUGUCAGCGUCUGUACUGUCUGCAGGCGGUGGACGUACUGAGAGACAAGGUCAUUACCACGGGACCCUUCUGUCCUGUGUCUGCCCAGCUCUCAGGUUGAGCAACAGGAGCUCUGUCAAAUGGCUGUGAAGACUGCACUGUGUGUGUGUGUGUGUGUGUGUGUGUGUGUGUGUGUGUGUGUGUGUGUGUGUGUGUGUGUGUGUGUGUGUGUGUGUGUGUGUGUGUGUGUGUGUGUGUGUGUGUGUGUGUGUGUGUGUGGCUAAAAAUUCGUGGACCAUUACUUUUAUUUCCCAGUGAAACACGUAAGCAGAUAAAAGGCCGUGCGCGCGUCUGUCUGCAUCAUCGGCGCCUCUUCUCCGCUCCGUCUGCAUCCUCAUCCCACCAGCGCUAUUGCCUGGAGCCGUGCGUUAUCUAGGCAGGCGCGGUGGCCCUGCUGUAUAAUGGGAUGUGCUAAGCCUGUUCCAUGCUGUACCUGUCUGCCACCUCUGAGAUGGUCUCCCAGAUAAACCUGAUGGAGGCUGCGUGAGGUGGUGGAACAGCGCUAGGGCUCCGUCCCCUUCAGCUUCCUCCAGAUGUUUUCCUCGUAUUAAUUAGUCAGUGUGAAUAAUGCAUGUGUGUGUCAGCUCAGAUGUCCAGGAGUUAAUUAGUUGCCUUGUGUCAGACCUCGGACUUGGGAGGUUUCCUCAGAAAACGAUGUUGGACGCAGCUUCAGCAUGUGUCUGUGAGCAGAUGUUGGCUGCUAUUAAUUGAUGCCUGUAGUGGAACGCUGGCUCUGCGGAGCAUAUGGCCUUUUAAUGUUGCAGGCCGUCCACCGAGCGCCGGAUGCCGGGGCGUCAGAGGCCGCGGCGCCGGCCACCGGGCUUUAUGGCGUAUAGUAUUUCUCUCCAUUAUGACGGGCGUAGUGCGCUGUUGUGUUUCUGCUCCUUCUAUUACAGCAGAUCCAGCAGUAAGGCUGUCAGCAGUAACAUGGCUCAUUAGCCCGCACUGAAGUGGCCCUGUGCUGGGCAGUCGCCAACCAGAAAUUGGCCUGUAGUGGCUGGUCGUAAGGGGGGGGGGUCUUGUGCCAGGAAAUGUGCUUCUGAGACAAACACCUCUUUAACUUGAGCCGCCAGCUCCAGUUUAGCGGCGAGAAACCGAAUUUCAUUCAUGCCACUCAACGCGCUGGAGGAACGCGGCGCUCGCCGUCAGAUCGGAAGCUACGCUAAAACAAAGUGGAGCGGAACGACGCGGGAACCGACGCCUUCAAAGCUGUAGGAGAUUAAAAGAUGCUUCCAGUAGACGUGGAGACGGAUUAAAUCCAGAGUCCGUCCCCACAGCAGACAUUACAAGGUGUCGACGGCUCAGGAGGUGUGUAAUGAAGGAACGGGAAUUAAUGAUGCUAGUUUAGUGCGGUGUUACAUUAGCUUUGGAUGUUUACAGCUGAAGGAGGGAAGAAUCUAUUCAUGUCCUGUACAAUGAUAUUAGGAAAAGCAGAAUCCAGUGUUUGUGCGGGAUUUAAAUGAGAAGU